GCGGGUAUCGUAUAGUGGUUAAUAUGCAACCUUCCCAAGGUUGAGAGCAGAGUUCGAUUCUCUGUACCCGCACCA
rnacentral:tRNA from 1 species